GAAAAAGUUAGAAUGUCUGAAAAGCCUGGACCUCUUUAACUGUGAGGUUACCAACCUGAAUGACUACCGAGAGAGUGUCUUCAAGCUCCUGCCCCAGCUUACCUACUUGGAUGGCUAUGACCGAGAGGACCAGGAAGCACCUGACUCAGAUGCCGAGGUGGAUGGUGUGGAUGAAGAGGAGGAGGACGAAGAAGGAGAAGAUGAGGAAGACGAGGACGAUGAGGAUGGUGAAGAAGAGGAGUUUGAUGAAGAAGAUGAUGAAGAUGAAGAUGUAGAAGGGGAUGAGGACGACGAUGAAGUCAGUGAGGAGGAAGAAGAAUUUGGACUUGAUGAAGAAGAUGAAGAUGAGGAUGAGGAUGAAGAGGAGGAAGAAGGUGGGAAAGGUGAAAAGAGGAAGAGAGAAACAGAUGAUGAAGGAGAAGAUGAUUAAGACCCCAGAUGACCUGCAGAAACAGAACUGUUCAGUAUUGGUUGGACUGCUCAUGGAUUUUGUAGCUGUUUAAAAAAAAAAAAAAGGUAGCUGUGAUACAAACCCCAGGACACCCACCCACCCAAAGAGCCAAAGAAUAGUUCCUGUGACAUUCCGCCUUCCUUCCAUGUAGUCCCUCUUGGUAAUCUACCACCAAGCUUGUGGACUUCACCCCAACAAAAUUGUAAGCGUUGUUAGGUUUUUGUGUAAGAUUCUUGCUGUAGCGUGGAUAGCUGUGAUUGGUGAGUCAACCGUCUGUGGCUACCAGUUACACUGAGAUUGUAACAGCAUUUUUACUUUCUGUACAACAAAAAAGCUUUGUAAAUAAAAUCUU
rnacentral:lncRNA from 1 species